AUAAUACUCCCUCCGUCUGGAAUUACUUGUUAUCAAAAUGGAUGUGUCUAGAACUAAAAUACAUCUAGAUACAUCCAUUUCAAUGACAAGUAUUUUCGGACGGAGGGAGUAGUAG
rnacentral:pre_miRNA from 1 species